UCACACACCCCCCCCCAACCGGAGCCGUGAGGUGCGGGUCCAGCUGCGGGCGGUGCCGGAGGAUCCCGUCGCCGGCGGUCACAGUGGGUCAUGGCAGGGCGGACACAGCCGCCUGGUUAGCACUGCAACUGGAAAUGCACUCGUGGAAAUCCCCAUGGACCAAAGUGCUCCUCUCUCUGGCAAACACAUGGGUGCAGCCAAAGCAAGUCGGAGGGACAGCAUUUCUUUACCAAUUCUCUACAAAGAGAAGAAGGACCAUACAGUUCCGUGGAGGUCCUCUGCGAAGCGGUUAGGCAUCAUCUGGAAGCAUCUACAGAUGAAGGUGGAUCAAACAGAUACAUACCACUGCUGAAGAGAUGAAUCAUACACUCAUGAAGCCAAGGAUGACUAGAAUCAAUAGCGAAGGCUCUUUUCACAGACUGAAGCAUCAGAAGGAACUUCUCUGGAAAACAAAGUGGUGGCAAACAUUCAAAAACCUGUGCCUGGAACUCGCUGCACUAUGCUGCAGGAGUAUUUAGUAUUUGAAACUAAAAUGAUCAGAAUAAAUUAAACAUGAGUGUACUGCCACAGC